rnacentral:misc_RNA from 1 species
GCUUCUUCUAUCUAAGAUAGCAGAUCUCUUUCCUACAGGCCCAGCUGUUACGUUACACGAGUGAGGAUGAACAGAUCAAGAGGUUUGAGAGACAUGAUUUUAGUGGCUCAUUUCGACAUCUGAGGACCAUCGAGAUCCUGGACUUUUCUGGGUCCAUGCUGCCGUUUGUUGAAUAUUUGCUCAAGCAUGCAAGUGUGCUAGAAAAAUUUGUCAUUGUUCCCAGAAGCAAAAGCAGUGAUGCGUAUGUCGAAAUAGUAGAGGAGUUCCUGCACUUUCCAAGAUCCUCUUCAUCUGUGACUUUAUGUUUGAAACUGGAUUGAGCUGAUAGACAAGACUUGGAUUGCACUUGCCUUCCGAGUUCUGCUGGAAUAUGUCAUGAGCACUGUUUCUUGCUUUGAUUAUAUUAGGUUUUCUGUCUGUUAACCAAAGAAGCAUUAAACUGUCAUGUAUAGGAACUGAAGGUCAUCACCGUAUGUCUUUCAAGAAAUUUGUAACCAAAAGAAGAGAACUCCCUUGUAGGAAUAAAAGAUCAACCAAAUGUAGGUAGACAAGGACGCUUUCCAGAAUCUAAACUACGCUUUCAAAUUACAUUUCCAGAAUCUGAACUACACUUUCCAAGAGCUGAUCUAAACAGGGUUGGCAGUUGAAGACAAGGACGACGUAGACCAGGUGGCAUAUAGUGAGGAACUCUUCUGGUGAUAUCAUUAUUUGGCAUAUGUAGCCCCACUAGGUCAUGGUGAUAUCAUUAUGUGGCAUAGUACGUCUCUUCCUUUUUCUCGUUCCACUUCACAACCAAACAAACAUACUUGAACACCUCAUCAGCUGUCACUCUGUCUAUUGCCCGAGCUUGCCACACAAAUAGCAUAGAGGUCUUUAAACUUCAUUGCGAAUGGUUACUAUGGUCCCACACUAGACAGAAAUUGCUGACUCACUCAUAAGAGUCCAAUGAUACACGAGCAACCGUCUCCUCAAACAGAUCAGACUUGUUCAAGAUUAAAACAAAUAGAGUCAAUGGAAAAAGGGGUGUCUGACCAUUGUUUCAAAGAGUUGUUUGAUAUGUGUCCUCUUGUUCUGAAGUAGUGGCCCUCUGUCCUCCGGAGCAAGCCAUGUCUGAUCAUAGUCACUCAGGGAGCCACACAAGAUGCUACAAUACAAACAUCUCAACCGAUUUGCAUCCACCACUAAUUCCAUUGGCAUUUAGCUAGUACUCUUGGUUUCCGUUCAAUCACCGUCUCAAGAUCUAUAGAAAGCUGUCAAUCCAGGGACGCCCAACAGUACUGUGGCUGUAUUAAGUAGUAAAACUUUCCAGCUAGAUGGUGGAGACCACCACCCUUUCAACACUAGUAUAGACAGGCACUUAUAAACCAAUUAUGUGAAAACAAAGAA